rnacentral:rRNA from 1 species
AGUUUGAUCCUGGCUCAGGAUGAACGCUGGCGGCGUGCUUAACACAUGCAAGUCGAACGGAACUGUCAUUUUUGAAGCAAUUAGCUUGCUAAGGGUGGAAAUGUUGGCAGUUUAGUGGCGGACGGGUGAGUAACGCGUGGGUAACCUGCCUUGCACUGGGGGAUAACACUUANAAAUAGGUGCUAAUACCGCAUAAGCGCACGGGACCGCAUGGUCUUGUGUGAAAAACUCCGGUGGUGCAAGAUGGACCCGCGUCUGAUUAGCUGGUUGGCGGGGUAACGGCCCACCAAGGCGACGAUCAGUAGCCGGCCUGAGAGGGUGGACGGCCACAUUGGGACUGAGACACGGCCCAAACUCCUACGGGAGGCAGCAGUGGGGAAUAUUGGACAAUGGGGGGAACCCUGAUCCAGCGACGCCGCGUGAGUGAAGAAGUAUUUCGGUAUGUACAGCUCUAUCAGCAAGGAACAAAGAAAUGACGGUACCUGACUAAAAAGCCCCGGCUAACUACCUGCCAGCGGCCGCGGUGAUACGUANGGGGGCAACCGUUAUCCGGAUUUUACUGGGUCGUAAACGGGACCGUACAACGGCGAUGCAGGUCCUGGAAUGAGCGGCCGGAGUCCCAGAGCCAGGGACCGCCGCUGGGAGAGAGU